ACGGAGGAUGAGAGCGUUAUCCGGAAUCAUUGGGUUUAAAGGGCGCGCAGGCGGAUCAAUAAGUUAGUUGUGAAAGACCAUAGCUUAACCGUGGAACUGCCAUUGAUACUGUUGGACUAGAGUACGGUUGAGGAAGGCAGAAUUCGAGAUGUAGCGGUUGAAUGCUUAGAGAUGAGGCAGAACACCGAUUGCGAAGGCAGUAUACUAAGUUAUGACUUACGCUCAUUUGCGAAAAUGUGGGGAUCAAUCAG
rnacentral:rRNA from 1 species